AAGUUAGCGGCGGACGGGUGAGUAACACGUGGGUAACCUACCCAUAAGACUGGGAUAACUCCGGGAAACCGGGGCUAAUACCGGAUAAUAUUUUGAACUGCAUAGUUCGAAAUUGAAAGGCGGCUUCGGCUGUCACUUAUGGAUGGACCCGCGUCGCAUUAGCUAGUUGGUGAGGUAACGGCUCACCAAGGCGACGAUGCGUAACCGACCUGAGAGGGUGAUCGGCCACACUGGGACUGAGACACGGCCCACACUCCUACGGGAGGCAGCAGUAGGGAAUCUUCCGCAAUGGACGAAAGUCUGACGGAGCAACGCCGCGUGAGUGAUGAAGGCUUUCGGGUCGUAAAACUCUGUUGUUAGGGAAGAACAAGUGCUAGUUGAAUAAGCUGGCACCUUGACGGUACCUAACCAGAAAGCCACGGCUAACUACGUGCCAGCAGCCGCGGUAAUACGUAGGUGGCAAGCGUUAUCCGGAAUUAUUGGGCGUAAAGCGCGCGCAGGUGGUUUCUUAAGUCUGAUGUGAAAGCCCACGGCUCAACCGUGGAGGGUCAUUGGAAACUGGGAGACUUGAGUGCAAAAGAGGAAAGUGGAAUUCCAUGUGUAGCGGUGAAAUGCGUAUAGAUAUGGAGGAACACCAGUGGCGAAGGCGACUUUCUGGUCUGUAACUGACACUGAGGCGCGAAAGCGUGGGGAGCAAACAGGAU
rnacentral:rRNA from 1 species